rnacentral:rRNA from 1 species
GAUGAACGCUGGCGGCGUGCCUAAUACAUGCAAGUCGAGCGAACAGACGAGGAGCUUGCUCCUCUGACGUUAGCGGCGGACGGGUGAGUAACACGUGGAUAACCUACCUAUAAGACUGGGAUAACUUCGGGAAACCGGAGCUAAUACCAGAUAACAUGUUGAACCGCAUGGUUCAACAGUGAAAGACGGUCUUGCUGUCACUUAUGGAUGGAUCCGCGCCGCAUUAGCUAGUUGGUAAGGUAACGGCUUACCAAGGCAACGAUGCGUAGCCGACCUGAGAGGGUGAUCGGCCACACUGGAACUGAGACACGGUCCAGACUCCUACGGGAGGCAGCAGUAGGGAAUCUUCCGCAAUGGGCGAAAGCCUGACGGAGCAACGCCGCGUGAGUGAUGAAGGUCUUCGGAUCGUAAAACUCUGUUAUUAGGGAAGAACAAAUGUGUAAGUAACUAUGCACGUCUUGACGGUACCUAAUCAGAAAGCCACGGCUAACUACGUGCCAGCCGCCGCAGUAA